CCUACGGGUGGCAGCAGUGAGGAAUAUUGGUCAAUGGACGAGAGUCUGAACCAGCCAAGUAGCGUGAAGGAUGACUGCCCUAUGGGUUGUAAACUUCUUUUAUAUGGGAAUAAAACGUUCCACGUGUGGGAUUUUGUAUGUACCAUAUGAAUAAGGAUCGGCUAACUCCGUGCCAGCAGCCGCGGUAAUACGGAGGAUCCGAGCGUUAUCCGGAUUUAUUGGGUUUAAAGGGAGCGUAGGUGGAGUGUUAAGUCAGUUGUGAAAGUUUGCGGCUCAACCGGAAAAUUGCAGUUGAAACUGGCAGUCUUGAGUACAGUAGAGGUGGGCGGAAUUCGUGGUGUAGCGGUGAAAUGCUUAGAUAUCACGAAGAACUCCGAUUGCGAAGGCAGUUCACUGGACUGCAACUGACACUGAGGCUCGAAAGUGUGGGUAUCAAACAGGAUUAGAUACCCUUGUAGUC
rnacentral:rRNA from 1 species